GGCUCAAUGGUCUAGUGGUAUGAUUGUCGCUUCGGGAAGAUUUUAUCUUGCCCCUCGAGAGAGGAGAAAAUGUGACAGGCCCCGGGUUCAAAUCCCGGUUGAGCCC